CAGAGAUGUUGAAGCCUUUAGAAGACUUUAUGAACAAGUUAAUCUUGGAUGGGUAUAUGCUGUUACAAAAUAUGAACCAUUUGGAACAUUAGCUGAUUUCGCAUAUGGUAUAUGGGCGAGGUAUCGUCUUCAGUUGACAGGCCGGCCACCUCUAGAAGAUAUUCUGGUAGCACGAAAGAAAAACCAGGAUGAAGUAUGUAACGACAGCAAUACUUGCAAGAGGUAAUCCUUCUGCACAGGAUGAUGAUUCUCGCUUGGCUGGUUGGUCACCAGAAAGGG
rnacentral:misc_RNA from 1 species